AGACUAGGUAUGGGCCAUGGCUCAAAGAUUUGUCUCCCCGAAGACGAAACUCUUUAGAUGAUGGGUCCGUUAAUAGUUUUUUCUCUAACUCUCUGAACCUUACACUGCCAUCAUCUUCACUUAGUUUUGAGAGACCUUAACCAAACAGCCUCUUCCCCCAACUCCAACCAUGGUUGUUUUACACAGAACCACAACCAGUAAAAUCAGUAACUAAAUCUUGGUCCAAACUUUUGAUACAAAAGGUACAACAAGGGAAACCCA
rnacentral:misc_RNA from 1 species